rnacentral:rRNA from 1 species
UGCGUAACGCGUGGGAAUCUGCCCUUGGGUUCGGAAUACUUCUGGAAACGGAAGCUAAUACCGGAUGAUGACGUAAGUCCAAAGAUUUAUCGCCCAAGGAUGAGCCCGCGUAGGAUUAGGUAGUUGGUGAGGUAAAGGCUCACCAAGCCGACGAUCCUUAGCUGGUCUGAGAGGAUGAUCAGCCACACUGGGACUGAGACACGGCCCAGACUCCUACGGGAGGCAGCAGUAGGGAAUAUUGGACAAUGGGCGAAAGCCUGAUCCAGCAAUGCCGCGUGAGUGAUGAAGGCCUUAGGGUUGUAAAGCUCUUUUACCCGGGAUGAUAAUGACAGUACCGGGAGAAUAAGCUCCGGCUAACUCCGUGCCAGCAGCCGCGGUAAAUACGGAGGGAGUUAGCGUUGUUCGGAAUUACUGGGCGUAAAGCGCACGUAGGCGGCUAUUCAAGUCAGAGGUGAAAGCCCGGGGCUCAACCCCGGAACUGCCUUUGAAACUAGAUAGCUUGAAUCCAGGGAGAGGUGAGUGGAAUUCCGAGUGUACGAGGGUGAAAUCGUAGAUAUUCGGAAGAACACCCAGUGGCCGAAAGGCGGCUCACUUGGACUGGUUAUUGACGCUGAGGUGCGAAAAGGCGUG